UACGUAGGGACCAAGCGUUGUUCGGAUUUACUGGGCGUAAAGGGCGCGUAGGCGGCAAUUCAAGUCAUCUGUGAAAUCUCUGGGCUUAACCCAGAACGGCCAGGUGAUACUGCUUUGCUAGAGUGCGGAAGGGGCAAUCGGAAUUCUUGAUGUAGCGGUGAAAUGCGUAGAUAUCAAGAGGAACACCUGAGGUGAAGACGGGUUGCUGGGCCGACACUGACGCUGACAGCGCGAAAGCCAGGGGAGCAAACGGG
rnacentral:rRNA from 1 species